rnacentral:rRNA from 1 species
CGGAGGAAAAGAAACCAACAGGGAUUGCCUCAGUAACGGCGAGUGAAGCGGCAACAGCUCAAAUUUGAAAUCUGGCCCCCAGGCCCGAGUUGUAAUUUGCAGAGGAUGUUUCUGGCGCGGUGCCUUCCGAGUUCCCUGGAACGGGACGCCAUAGAGGGUGAGAGCCCCGUACGGUUGGCCGCCAAGCCUAUGUGAAACUCCUUCGACGAGUCGAGUAGUUUGGGAAUGCUGCUCUAAAUGGGAGGUAUACGUCUUCUAAAGCUAAAUACCGGCUAGAGACCGAUAGCGCACAAGUAGAGUGAUCGAAAGAUGAAAAGCACUUUGAAAAGAGGGUUAAAUAGUACGUGAAAUUGUUGAAAGGGAAGCGCUCAUGACCAGACUUGGGCCGGUUGAUCAUCCGCCGUUCUCGGUGGUGCACUCUGCCGGCUCAGGCCAGCAUCAGUUUGGCCCGGGGGAUAAAGGCGUCGGGAAUGUGGCUCCCUCCGGGGAGUGUUAUAGCCCGUCGCGUAAUACCCUGGGCUGGACUGAGGACCGCGCUUCGGCAAGGAUGCUGGCGUAAUGGUCAUCAGUGACCCGUCUUGAAACACGGACCAAGGAGUCGUCUUCGUAUGCGAGUGUUCGGGUGUCAAACCCCUACGCGGAAUGAAAGUAAACGUAGGAGAGAGCUUCGGCGCAUCUCCGACCGAUCCUGAUGUUCUCGGAUGGAUUUGAGUAAGAGCAUACGGGGCCGGACCCGAAAGAAGGUGAACUAUGCCUGUAUAGGGUGAAGCCAGAGGAAACUCUGGUGGAGGCUCGCAGCGGUUCUGACGUGCAAAUCGAUCGUCAAAUAUGGGCAUGGGGGCGAAAGACUAAUCGAACCUUCUAGUAGCUGGUUCC